GAUGAAGAACGUAGCGAAAUGCGACAAGUAAUGUGAAUUGCAGAAUUCAGUGAAUCAUCGAAUCUUUGAACGCACAUUGCGCCCGCCAGUAUUCUGGCGGGCAUGCCUGUCUGAGCGUCAUUUCAACCCUCAUGCCCCUAGGGCGUGGUGUUGGGGAUCGGCCAAAGCCCGCAAGGGACGGCCGGCCCCUAAAUCUAGUGGCGGACCCGUCGUGGCCUCCCCUGCGAAGUAGUGAUAUUCCGCAUAGGAGAAGCGACGAGCCCCUGCCGUUAAACCCCCAACUUUCUCAGGUUGACCUCAGAUCAGGUAGGAAUACCCGCUGAACUUAAGCAUAUCAAUAAGCGGAGGA
rnacentral:misc_RNA from 1 species